GGAGGUGUCGGUGCGAGCAUUUCUUUUGGGAAGAGGCGUUUGACAGAACACAAGCUGAGCAAAAUACUGCCGGACUGAAGGUGGCCAUGGGUCCUCUGCAGUAUUCGAAGACACAUCUGCUUGGCUUCACUUGAGAGAUGGCCUUUAGAAGCAAUCUGCUCUAACAAUAACAUUUUCCAUCCAUCCCAGCUGAACUGCGCACAGCACGUAGGCUUCUUCCGAGAGCGAGCAUAAUUAGUGAACAAGGAAACUACAUGACAGCUAAAAGGAAGAUUUAGAACUCAUUACAAAAUAGAGCCUAAACAUUAAUUUUGAACAUAUGCAAGCAGACAACACAGAUGUCAUCAGGAAUGAAUCUGAGGCUUCAGCAUCUAAAUUUCAUCCACCCGGCUGGACGGCUGAGCACGCUGCCACGGAUGGCAAGUGGGAACGAGUAAGGGCAUGUGCGCACUGAUUGGAAAGGGAGGCUUUAGCUGUGUAACUCAGCAGUGCUUUGGAUGUUCUGCCCCGCUGAUGCACAGCCCAAGAUAACAAAUAAAUGUCGAGGAAGACUAUCAGUAUUUAAUGUAACAAGGAAGAAAGGAGGCAAGUAUUUAAAAGACGAGUAGAUGAGGCACUUAGGGACAU